CUACGGGUCGCUGCAGUGGGGAAUUUUGCGCAAUGGGGGAAACCCUGACGCAGCAAUACCGCGUGAGUGAAGAAGGCCUUUGGGUCGUAAAGCUCUUUUCUUGGGGAAGAUAGUGACGGUACCCAAGGAAUAAGCACCGGCUAACUCCGUGCCAGCAGCCGCGGUAAUACGGAGGGUGCAAGCGUUGUUCGGAUUUACUGGGCGUAAAGGGCACAUAGGCGGCACAGCAAGUUAAGGGUGAAAUCCCGGGGCUCAACUCCGGAACUGCUCUUAAAACUGCUGAGCUAGAGAUAGUCAGAGGCGGGUGGAAUUCCAGGUGUAGAGGUGAAAUUCGUAGAUAUCUGGAGGAACACCGGUGGCGAAGGCGGCCCGCUGGGGCUAUUCUGACGCUAAGGUGCGAAAGCGUGGGGAGCAAACGGGAUUAGAUACCCCCGUAGUC
rnacentral:rRNA from 1 species